rnacentral:rRNA from 1 species
UACAGAGGUCUCAAGCGUUGUUCGGAUUCAUUGGGCGUAAAGGGUGUGUAGGUGGCGCCGUAAGUCGGGUGUGAAAUUUCGGAGCUUAACUCCGAAACUGCAUUCGAUACUGCGGUGCUUGAGGACUGGAGAGGAGACUGGAAUUCAUGGUGUAGCAGUGAAAUGCGUAGAGAUCAUGAGGAAGACCAGUGGCGAAGGCGGGUCUCUGGACAGUCCUGACACUGAGACACGAAGGCCAGGGGAGCAAACGGG